AGGAUGAACGCUGGCGGCGUGCUUAACACAUGCAAGUCGAACGGUGAAGUGAGGAGCUUGCUCCUUGCGGAUCAGUGGCGAACGGGUGAGUAACACGUGAGUAACCUGCCCUUGACUCUGGGAUAAGCGUUGGAAACGACGUCUAAUACCGGAUACGACCUCCGAAGGCAUCUUCUGGAGGUGGAAAGAAUUUCGGUCAAGGAUGGACUCGCGGCCUAUCAGCUAGUUGGUGAGGUAAUGGCCCACCAAGGCGACGACGGGUAGCCGGCCUGAGAGGGUGACCGGCCACACUGGGACUGAGACACGGCCCAGACUCCUACGGGAGGCAGCAGUGGGGAAUAUUGCACAAUGGGCGCAAGCCUGAUGCAGCAACGCCGCGUGAGGGACGACGGCCUUCGGGUUGUAAACCCCUUUCACCAGGAGCGAAUUCAGACGGUACCUGGGGAAGAGCGCCGGCUAACUACGCGUCAGCAGCCGCGGU
rnacentral:rRNA from 1 species